UGGGCUCGUUGACUAUAAAAGUCUGGAGAAAGCUUCGAGAGGACAACAGCCACGUCAUCACUUGCAUCCUGCCAGCAGACAGCGGCGCACAACAAAGGAAAUCAUACUGUUUCUUCCUUGUCUGACUAUACUUCCAAAAUGAAGAUCUGCUUUGUUCUUCUCCUGGUCCUUGUGGCUACAGCUGCAGCUGCUGCCAGUGAGGUUCAGAAGAGACUUACCCUUAAUGGACUCGUUAAAAUGUUGGAAUACUACAUGAAGAAUGCUCCUGGAGAUGCCAUGACUGUUUGCAUGAUUGAAUGCAAGUCUGUUGCUCCUUCUUAUAGCUUCUUGUGUGAAGAAGCAUGCAACUUAGUCGUCUAUGGAAUAAACAUAUGAACGAAUGAAGACUGUCUUCUGCAAGGCCUGACCUUUCUCAAGUCUUUAUUAUCGACAUAUCAAAAAAGAUCAAAGAGUUGGACACGAGUUCAGCACUUCAUUAUUAAUUUAAAAAUGUUGGAACUGGAAUAAAUCUUUUAAAAGCA